UACGUAGGGUGCGAGCGUUGUCCGGAAUUAUUGGGCGUAAAGGGCUCGUAGGCGGUUUGUCGCGUUGGGAGUGAAAACCCAGGGCUUAACCCUGGGCUGGCUUCCGAUACGGGCAGACUAGAGGUAUGCAGGGGAGAACGGAAUUCCUGGUGUAGCGGUGAAAUGCGCAGAUAUCAGGAGGAACACCGGUGGCGAAGGCGGUUCUCUGGGCAUUACCUGACGCUGAGGAGCGAAAGUGUGGGGAGCGAACAGG
rnacentral:rRNA from 1 species